GACGAACGCUGGCGGCGUGCUUAACACAUGCAAGUCGAACGGAAAGGCCCUGCUUUUGCGGGGCUCUCGAGUGGCGAACGGGUGAGUAACACGUGAGUAUCCCGCCCUUGUCUUUGGGAUAACUUCAGGAAACUGGGGCUAAUAUCGGAUAGGAGCUCCUGCUGCAUGGUGGUGGUUGGAAAGUUUCGGCGGUUGGGGCUGGACUCGCGGCUUAUCAGCUUGUUGGUGGAGUAGUGGCUUACCAAGGCUUUGACGGGUAGCCGGCCUGAGAGGGUGACCGGCCACAUUGGGACUGAGAUACGGCGCAGACUCGUACGGGAGGCAGAAGGGGGGAGUAUUGCACAAUGGGCGGAAGCCUGUGGCGGCAAUGCCGCGUGCGGAAUGACGGCCUUCGGGUUGUAAACCGCUUUCGCCUGUGACGAAGCGUGAGUGACGGUAAUGGGUAAAGAAGCACCGGCUAACUACGUG
rnacentral:rRNA from 1 species